rnacentral:tRNA from 2 species
GGGGCUGUAGCUCAGUUGGUAGAGCGGUAGCUUUGCAAGCUAUAGGUCGGGAGUUCGAAUCUCCUCAGCUCCACCA